GACGAACGCUGGCGGCGUGCUUAACACAUGCAAGUCGAACGGAAAGGCCCUGCUUUUGUGGGGUGCUCGAGUGGCGAACGGGUGAGUAACACGUGAGUAACCUGCCCUUGACUUUGGGAUAACUUCAGGAAACUGGGGCUAAUACCGGAUAGGAGCUCCUGCUGCAUGGUGGUGGUUGGAAAGUUUCGGCGGUUGGGGAUGUACUCGCGGCUUAUCAGCUUGUUGGUGGGGUAGUGGCUUACCAAGGCUUUGACGGGUAGCCGGCCUGAGAGGGUGACCGGCCACAUUGGGACUGAGAUACGGCCCAGACUCCUAAGGGAGGCAGCAGUGGGGAAGAUUGAACAAUGGGCGGAAGCCGGAUGAAGAAACGCCGCGUGCCGGAUGACGGCCUUAGGGUUGUAAACCGCUUUUGCAUGUGACGAAGCGUGAGUGACGGUAAUGGGUAAAGAAGCACCGGCUAACUACGUG
rnacentral:rRNA from 1 species